GGACAGUUGGGAGAGCGGUUUAAUCUACUACCUUGGAAAGGUAGCGUAGGGAAACCUACCGAGGGUUCAAAUCCCUCACUGUCCACCA
rnacentral:tRNA from 4 species